CCUACGGGAGGCAGCAGUGGGGAAUUUUGCGCAAUGGGCGAAAGCCUGACGCAGCAACGCCGCGUGACCGAUGAAGCUCUGAGGAGUGUAAAAGUCUGUCCCAGGGGGAGAAAGACACCGAUACGAAUAAUAUCGGCGGUUGACGGUACCCUGGAAGAAAGCCCCGGCUAACUUCGUGCCAGCAGCCGCGGUAAUACGAGGGGGGCUAGCGUUGUCCGGAAUUAUUGGGUGUAAAGGGCUCGUAGGCGGAUCGAUCAGUCGGAACUUAAAUCCCACGGCUCAACCGUGGAGCUGGUUUCGAUACUGUCGGUCUUGAGUUCGGUAGAGGAAGGCGGAAUUCCUGGUGUAGCGGUGAAAUGCGUAGAUAUCAGGAGGAACACCGAAGGCGAAGGCAGCCUUCUGGGCCGAAACUGACGCUAAGGAGCGAAAGCGUGGGUAGCGAACAGGAUUAGAUACCCCGGUAGUCC
rnacentral:rRNA from 1 species